rnacentral:sRNA from 1 species
AUUUUUGGAAAGGGGGAGGUGCUUUCCUAGUGGCCAAAUGACUUGUGGGAGGACCACAGUCUGGAGGGGGAGGCUGGCCUGCCUCCUGGCUGGAGGAAGAUCCACGAUGCUGCAGGUACUUACUACUGGCAUGUACCCAGCGGUAGCACCCAGUGGCAGCGCCCAACCUGGGAACUAGGAGAUGCAGAGGACCCAGGCACGGUAGGUGGAGUGUGAGGAGGAGGUCUGAGCCCGUGUGUGGAUCUAGGUCUGCUGUUAAACUGACUAACUCCCACUCUACAGGGAACGGAGGGGAUCUGGGGACUGCGGCCCCCCAAAGGGAGAUCCUUCUCCAGCCUGGAGAGUUCACUGGACCGGAGGUAACGGGUGGCCCAGGCAAAAUGAAAGGCUUGGGGUUCCAUGGUGUUCAAAAACGCAGCUGGACCCAUGGUCUGCUUUCCAGCCCAGGUUCUGGAUUCUGUCACAUGUUUUGGGUUCUGUUACGUUCUUGGCUCUGUCCCAGGUUCUUAACUGUCAGUAUUUUGAGUUUUAUCCCUUGUUCUAAGCU